GUCUAUGGCCAUACCACCCUGAACGCACUUGAUCUUGUCUGACCUGGGAAGCAAAGCAGGGUCGGGCCUGGUUAGUACUUGGAUGGGAAAAAUAAGAUGAAGUAAAGA
rnacentral:rRNA from 1 species